rnacentral:rRNA from 1 species
GACGAACGCUGGUGGCGUGCUUAACACAUGCAAGUCGAACGAUGAAGCUAGAGCUUGCUCUGGUGGAUUAGUGGCGAACGGGUGAGUAACACGUGAGUAACCUGCCCCGAACUCUGGGAUAACUGCUGGAAACGGUAGCUAAUACCGGAUAUGACCAAUGAAGGCAUCUUCUGUUGGUGGAAAGAAUUUCGGUUCGGGAUGGACUCGCGGCCUAUCAGCUUGUUGGUGAGGUAACGGCUCACCAAGGCGACGACGGGUAGCCGGCCUGAGAGGGGGAUCGGCCACACUGGGACUGAGACACGGCCCAGACUCCUACGGGAGGCAGCAGUGGGGAAUAUUGCACAAUGGGCGCAAGCCUGAUGCAGCAACGCCGCGUGAGGGACGACGGCCUUCGGGUUGUAAACCUCUUUUAGUAGGGAAGAAGCGAAAGUGACGGUACCUGCAGAAAAAGCACCGGCUAACUACGUGCCAGCAGCCGCGGUAA